CACUGGCUUUCAAGGGCAACUUCUGCUUAAUUGCCAUCCUCCUCCCACUCACCCUCCCCCUCUGAUUAUGUACAUGCAUCGUUGGGCUUCAUGGACGUGGAAAGUGGAGCAAAGGAAGGUUUGGGAGCCAUGUCUCUGCGGCGGUGGUCACAGAUGCAGUACACUAUGAUUCCCGAAAAGACGGCCCCCAUGACAAAAGCAAGAAUAACAGCAAUGGCCAACAGGGUGACUGGCACCAGCUGAUCAUGACCUUUCAGGGUGAUUUUGUUUAUCAGCUUGUUCAGAUUUGGAGACAUACUUUACCUGCCAGCUACAUCAUCCAUGUGUAGCCUUCAGCUUUCAGAUCUGGAGCUGAAGACUACAAAAUUCAGGAGGCGAAAGGGAAUUCACGUGCAGGACAAGUUGACCUCUGUGCUGAAGCUUAUGCUUUCUGCUCUAAAAGACCUGACCUGGUGCCUCAUCCUGUGGUUGGAGGUCACUGUCAAAUCCUCCUUGGCCAUCCAAGCACCUGCUGUCUGAGAAGGCACCUUUGGCAGAGUGCACCUCCUCCAUCUGAAGUCCCUAAUGCAGCAUGAAUGAACACCUUGAAUGUCCAAAUUGUGUUCUUACUGUUUACAAAGAGCAGCCACAGUUUGACAAGGAACUGAAGGAGCAUCUCUCCCACCUCUUCUUCCAGAGAGGGCCCAAGUGCCAGGGGAUUAAAAGCUCCACAUGCUCAAAGGAAAUAGUUGUCCUUAUUUCAGGAGAGACAGCAAGGAAGAAAAUACAACUCCAAGGAUCUCCUGAGACUUUAUGAAGAUGCAACUCCUAAAAUAAGGUUUUUUCAUGUUUUUGGCACAGAAGCCAGUGUACCCUGCACUGUAACAGUCUGGAACACGCAAAAUCACCUCUUCUUACUCAUCUAAUGAGAGAGAAGACCUGAUAUGGUAUUAUGUUAUACUAUGCUAUGCAUAAUUGAUUCCUUCUUCCAGCAGAGCUUCUAGAGAUAAAGCUGAAUGCUGUCUGCAAAAAGAGACCAGUGCUCUUUACGUUCCUUGUUAUGAGCCACGAUUGCACAAACCUCGGCACGGGCUGUGGCGAAUGUAGGAGGUUCAGUGUGGACAGCAGGCAGAAGAAGGGACAGAGGGACUCCUGCACUGUGCCCUCCUUUGAGAGGCACUAACUGGGACUCAAUCAGCAAUGAAUGCACAUAGAGAAUUGCUGAGCUGUUUGAUGGGAGCUAUGAGCUGGUAGCUGAAAUAAAUUUCUCCAGUGCUGGCCAUGGCCUCAAAGUCACUACUGAUGGCCUCUUCUGCACCACUUGGUAAGACCACUUCUGUGAGCAUCCUUAAAAACCAGUGGUACUCAGUCCACCCAGCACCGUGGCUUCUGUUGCACUCACCCUGCUUGCUUGCAAACAGGAAGUUGGUAUUUAUUUAAGAAUAAGAUUUACUGAUUUAAAUAACAAGAAAACAUCAAAAACAUAUUCGCUUGUCAAAAGACUUUUAGAAUUAUUUUAGUGAAGGCUUUGGUCAGGUGUUUUUGCACAUGCUUAAAUUCUCUGUAUGUGUGGGUACUGUUUGUGUUCAGCAACUGCAGAUCUUUCAGGCUCUCCAAAAAUACCACUCUAUGUCUUUCUAAAGGACAUGAUAGUGGAUAGCAGUAGCUUUGUAGGGCUUCAAAAAUGUGCCUGCUUUCCCCCAACUGCCUUUUUUUAUAUAACAGCUGCUCUUUUAUUUUCUAUCACAAUUGUGGGUAAGAUGGGAUGGAACAUGAACAAGAUGGCAUAUUAUUGACAGCAUGCAGCUGGUGUUAUAUUCCAAUUAAAAAAUCCUUGAUGGGUAUAUGAAAGAACUGUCUAGUUUAUGCCCAGUUGUGACAAUGCUAACAAGCUGCCCCCUCAGCUGAGAUUUUAUUUCACAGAAGAGAAGCAAUCUUUGGUUGCUAGUAGAAGAACAAUAGUUUAAUAUCCUGGCCAACACAAAAUUGGUGAUGAAUAUGCUGUUAGCCAUUUCCAAAUGUUUGCUGUAUUGUAUAGCCGUGCCAGAAAUUCUUCUUAAUUCUUCUUCUUCCUGAGCAACUACUCUAUAAACUGCCCUAAGCCCUUCUAAUGCCAAUGGAGCUGUUAAAAUCCACUUGAGCAGGUACCCUGACUUAUUCUGGUCUGCUGGGGCAAGGUGAGUUAUCAGACUAUCAACUGGUGGUUUAAGAACACCAAUACUAAGUGUACACAGAGUUGUUUGUGCAUUUAGUUGCCUAACUGUAACAAGUCUCUUCUGGGCAUAAGGGACUGAGAAUUUAAAAAAAAAAAACCUUACAGCUUUGCCAAAUAGAACUCCUUUUCUUUUCCCUCACAGGGAUGUGAGGAUGCACAUUUUUGAUACAGUGGUAAAUUUGCACUAUCUGCUUCAAAACUUCUCAAUAAAGUGCCCUUAAGACACAUUUUUGUAACAUGAGAAUAACAACAUGUCUUUUCCCUAUCCUCUCUCUCAGCCACUGGCACAAUUUUGGAGCACACGAUUAAAGUCUAGCAAAAGUAGUAGCAAUGGCAACCAGAUAGCAGAGGGUACAGUGCCUCACUAAAUGACUGUUAAAGAGUUUGAAGGAACAUCUCUCUAAACACCUGACUAAAUGAAAGAAAUUCAGAGAAACAACUGCUUCCCAAACACAAUGACAUUUGUUAUCUGUAUUUAAUGUUCAAUAAAACUGAGAUUGCAAAACCUAAAUUAUGCUCCCUCCAGGUUUUUAAUUUUUUAAUUAACUACAUGCUGUUGAUCAGUAAGCACCAGCCCAUGCUGACAGAAGGAAUUAAGUGUGCCUAUUUUCCAGACAAAGAAAAAUAAGAAAAAUGGAAAAGUUAUUUGGGAUCCUUCCUACAUAAUUAAAGAGAUAUUGAUAGCCAUUAACUAAAAGUUAAUGAAUAUGAGAAAAAUGUAGGUGGUGUUUUUGACAGGGCAGGUAAUUAGACAGUUGACAGUUUACAGACCAUAUUAACAGUGCUCUGAACCAGGACUGUCAAUGUUUAGGUCAUUGUAAAAUUACCACAUCACAUCUGAACUAUUAAUUAAUACAGUAAUUGAAACUAGGCACAUCCUAUAUGAGAAAAACAAAUUAUUCAAAUAUCUUUAACAGCAUAUUGACAUUUUAAUUGCACACUGGCAUUAACAAAACUAAAAGGUGCUUUAAAUAUCUUUCACCUACUAGAUUUUCUCCUAUUAAAUCCCUUUGAAUGUCAAAUCAGUUUCAGAAAUUUCUUGUUUAAAGGGCCAGACUGUCCUCCCAAUUCAGCAUCUUUAUUUAGCACAACAUCUCCUUAUAAUCAAUAUAAACAUCACAAAAAUGAAACUGGGUAACCUGUCCACCAGCUAUGCCUUGCUAUUUCUAGAUGAGUAGUGGCUCUGUGGUGCAAGCACAUCCUACAGCGAAUUUCCAGCUCUUGAUAAAUAUGUCAGUGCUACAAAGGUCAAACAAGAACACGAGGCAGUCUGUGUUCCUCCACUGAGCCAUCCUCACCGGGUGACAGUGGAUGAAUGCAGCUGGGGGUCUGGUCCAUCACACAAUAGCUCUAGUGCCCUGAACCCACAGCAGCUGCCGUGACAAAUUAGAUGUGGCCUCUUUUAUUGAAAAAGCACAUCAGGGUCCUGGGGCAAUGACUGUUUUUCCCUCUUUUAGUAAGACAACCCUCUACAGCUCAUUGCAGCCUGGAAAUGGACAGCCUGACUUGAAAUCUGUGCAGGUGGACAAUUAUGGGUCAAGGAUACCUGCUGUUUCCAGAAGCCACAUUUGAGAACAUCUAUUUUAAACUUCACCAUUCUUUUAUUUGUAGGAUCUAAUGUGGGAGCACAGAAGCUCUGUUUUCAUAACCAGAUCAAUACAACUUCUUCUGUUACCAAUGAUGUAUUUUUUUUUUUCGCUACUAAACAGCAAAUGGCUCUUGGUUCUAAUCUUGCCAUACAACGUUUCCAUUUAUGCUAGUUAAAUUUGAAAUCUGUACUGUUAGUGAAAUGCAGAAAUGUUUUGAAUUCUGAAAAUGUUAAGUGAGUGUCAGUGCUAAAGUAUAGGCAUUUCUUUAAGUGUGGCACAGGCAGUUGGUGUGUGCUGGAAUAUACCCCACCAUUAUCUUGAUUUCCUCAUCCUUGCCUGUCUUUUGCAGUUAAAUCUGUUCCUUUCCUUACAUUUUCAGAUGGCCACUAUAGAAAAUCUGCAACUAAAUGAGCUGGAGCUUUCUUUACAUAAAGUUUGAAAUGCAGGCUUAGUCACAGAGAAGGCACACUAAAUCACUGCCCAAUACUCUAUUAUAACCCUGUGUUUGACUAAAAUUGGCUUAAAGAUGUGGCCCUGCUCAGGGAUUUAGCUCCUGACCUCUUUUCUGAAUGCCAUGUCUCUGCUCUGUUUCUUCACUCUUGUUCUCAGAGAAACUUACUAAAAUAUAAUUUAAAAAGUCUGAAGAAAGUCUGCUGUCAGAAACAUCCUUACAGCAUUCUUCUUUCAUGAAUUUUAUAUACAAUUUCCAUUUUAUUAAUUAGCAUCUACUUUACUACUGUCACUGUUUGAACUUGAAGAUGUAAUCUGAGAUGAUUAGCUGUCUCUAGCCGUGGGAGCAGACAGCUCAUAUAUGCAAGACAGAACAGAAGAAGGAUCAGUGUCACUUCUCUGCACAAGUCUGGUGUGUUCCCUUAAUCCUGACUGCAGAGGCUCCUGGUGCAUGUCACAGGACACCAGCCAUU